AGGGUUUGAUUAUGGCUCAGGAUGAACGCUGGCGGCGUGCUUAACACAUGCAAGUCGAACGAAGCAAUCUAACGGAAGUUUUCGGAUGGAAGCUAGAUUGACUGAGUGGCGGACGGGUGAGUAACGCGUGGGUAACCUGCCUCACACUGGGGGACAACAGUUAGAAAUGACUGCUAAUACCGCAUAAGCGCACAGGACCGCAUGGUCCGGUGUGAAAAACUCCGGUGGUGUGAGAUGGACCCGCGUUUGAUUAGCUAGUUGGUGGGGUAACGGCCUACCAAGGCGACGAUCAAUAGCCGACCUGAGAGGGUGACCGGCCACAUUGGGACUGAGACACGGCCCAA
rnacentral:rRNA from 1 species